UAUAUAUCUUAAUUAAUCAAGAUUUUUAAUACUUAUACCCAUUAAAACAAAAAAUUGAAGUUGAUGGAAUGUCAGCUUCAUAUGUUGUCCUGUUUAAUGUUCUUAUACAAGCAUUUUCAGAUCUAUUAUGCAGAUGAAGAAACAGAGGCAGAAGUCAAUCUUACCUGAUGUAUGCAAAAGUUCAAGAACCAGUGUUGAAAUUAUGCAGAAAUUUCUUACAGAAAAAGGGAUGAGGAAUUCAAACCAGACAAAGGGAUGUCAGAAUGUUUCAGCAACAACUCAAG